rnacentral:rRNA from 1 species
AGGUCACGAUGCGUACGACGUAUCAUUCAAAUUUCUGCCCUAUCAACUUUCGAUGGUAAGGAUAUAGGCUUACCAUGGUUGCAACGGGUGACGGAGAAUUAGGGUUCGAUUCCGGAGAGGGCGCCUGAGAGAUGGCGACCACAUCCAAGGAAGGCAGCAGGCGCGCAAAUUGCCCAAUGAUGACACAUCGAGGCAGUGACAAUAAAUAACAAUGUGGGGCCUUUCAGGUCUUGCAAUUGGAAUGAGUACAAUUUAAAUCUCUUAACGAGUAACAAUUGGAGGGCAAGUCUGGUGCCAGCAGCCGCGGUAAUUCCAGCCCCAAUUACGUAA